ACUUGGGAAAUUGUCAGUCUUCUUUUGGCUGCUCCCUUUUAGGGUUCCUCAUGACAGAUCAUCAUCCUCCAUCUCGCCCUAUUUCUAGCAUCCUCUUAUGUUACCCCAUCAGUCUGUAUGUCCUCCAUCGCUACAUCCACAAACCUUCUCUGUGGUCUUCCUCUUUUCCUCCUGCCUGGAAGCUCGAUAUUCAAUAUCCUUUCUCCAGUAUAUCCACUAUCCCACUUCUCCACAUGUCCAAACCAUGUCAGCCUUGCAUCUGAUUUCUGUCUCCAAAGCGCUCAACCUGAGCUGUGUCUCUGAUAUACUGAUUUGUAAUUCUGCUUACUCCCAAUCAAAAUCUGAACAUAGAUCUUGGACAGUAGUAAAACAAAAAUCAGCAUCUGAAAUAUUUUCCACAUAAGGGUUGUGUAUUUUUUAAAAUUGUGUAUUUUAUUUUAUUUUAUUUUAUUCUAAUAACGUCUGAAGGGUUAAAUUUUUACGUAUAUGCUGUCAGAUUUGAUAAAAUAGCAUUAUUAUUUACGGAACUGACGUACAUGUCCAAAAAACUAGUUGAUUUUUAUACAAAAUUACAAUGUAUGCAACUUUAUCGAGUAGAAACAUUUUUCAUAUUAUUUCUUAGUUAAAUUGGGGUGAACUUCUUGUCCAUACGUUCAGGGCCAGAGCCAGUGCCCUUCCAGAGAUCCCUAGAUGCUUCCGGACUGGGAAAGCUGUGAGCCGUUUCCGCCGCCAUUGCGGAUUUUGGACAGAAGAUCAGCCAUAGCCACUGCUAUCCAUCGAUGCAGUGCAGAAAGCAUACACAGAAGGGGGGGCGUAUUUAACAUUUUUCCACUGAUAUCUCACUUCGGAAACACGAUUACCCACAGCAUCUUGCCUAUUUUAAAACAGUGCUAUCGUUUUCACCGACUGGCUCCGACCUACACAUUCAGUGAGGAGGUCGUAGCUAGCGCGGUGCUGCUGCUGCCUAGCUAGCUGUACGACCAGAAUUUCAGGACUCCGGAGAAGCUCAAGGAAACAACCAUGGCUCAAAUCCUGCCUAUCCGCUUCCAGGAGCACCUGCAGCUCCAGAACUUGGGGAUCAACCCAGCCAACAUUGGAUUUAGCACGCUUACAAUGGAGUCUGACAAGUUCAUCUGUGUACGAGAGAAGGUUGGUGAACAGGCUCAGGUUGUCAUCAUUGAUUUGGCUGAUCCCAACAACCCCAUUCGUCGCCCCAUCUCUGCCGACAGCGCCAUCAUGAACCCUGCUAGCAAAGUUAUUGCCCUUAAAGACGCUGCAAAGACCCUGCAGAUCUUUAACAUUGAGAUGAAGAGCAAGAUGAAGGCUCACACGAUGACGGAUGACGUGACCUUCUGGAAGUGGAUCUCCCUCAACACUGUCGCCCUGGUCACAGACAACGCGGUCUACCAUUGGAGCAUGGAGGGUGACUCUCAGCCAAUCAAAGUAUUUGACCGUCACUCCAGCCUGGCAGGCUGCCAGAUCAUCAACUACCGCACUGAUGCCAAACAGAAGUGGUUGCUGCUCAUUGGCAUUUCUGCACAGCAAAACCGUGUCGUUGGAGCCAUGCAGUUGUACUCGGUGGACAGAAAGGUUUCUCAGCCUAUUGAAGGACAUGCUGCUGGAUUUGCACAGUUCAAGAUGGAAGGCAACACCGAGGAAUCGACUCUGUUCUGCUUUGCCGUGCGGGGACAGGCGGGAGGAAAACUCCAUAUUAUUGAAGUGGGGACUCCACCAACUGGGAACCAGCCGUUUCCAAAGAAAGCUGUGGAUGUUUUCUUUCCUCCAGAAGCCCAGAAUGACUUCCCUGUGGCCAUGCAGAUCAGUUCCAAGCAAGAUGUAGUCUUUCUCAUCACCAAAUAUGGCUACAUCCACCUAUAUGACUUGGAAACUGGAACCUGUAUCUACAUGAACAGGAUCAGCGGAGAGACCAUUUUUGUCACUGCCCCCCAUGAACCUACUGCUGGAAUCAUUGGAGUCAACAGGAAAGGACAGGUGUUGUCUGUAUGCGUGGAGGAGGAAAACAUCAUUCCAUACAUCACCAAUGUGCUCCAGAACCCAGACCUUGCACUCCGAAUGGCUGUCCGCAACAACCUCGCUGGUGCUGAGGAGCUGUUUGCUCGCAAGUUCAACACCCUUUUUGCAGCAGGAAAUUACUCAGAGGCUGCAAAGGUGGCAGCGAAUGCACCCAAGGGUAUUCUGCGAACACCAGACACCAUCCGUAGGUUCCAAAGUGUUCCCGCCCAACCAGGCCAGACGUCUCCCUUGCUUCAGUACUUUGGCAUCUUGCUGGAUCAAGGCCAACUUAAUAAGUUUGAGUCUCUGGAGCUCUGCAGACCUGUCCUUCAGCAGGGCCGAAAGCAGCUACUGGAGAAAUGGCUAAAAGAGGAUAAGCUGGAAUGUUCUGAGGAGCUCGGAGACUUGGUGAAGUCUGUAGAUCCAACUCUCGCCCUCAGCGUCUACCUCAGAGCCAAUGUUCCCAAUAAGGUCAUUCAGUGCUUUGCAGAGACUGGCCAAUUCCAGAAGAUUGUUCUCUAUGCCAAGAAGGUUGGCUACACUCCAGACUGGAUCUUUUUGCUAAGGAACGUUAUGCGGAUCAGUCCAGAGCAAGGUCUUCAGUUCUCUCAGAUGCUGGUUCAGGAUGAAGAGCCACUGGCUGACAUUACACAGAUUGUUGACGUAUUCAUGGAGUACAACCUGAUCCAGCAGUGCACGUCCUUCCUACUAGAUGCCCUGAAGAACAACAGACCCAUGGAGGGACCACUGCAGACACGCCUGCUGGAAAUGAAUUUGGUCCAUGCACCACAGGUUGCAGAUGCCAUUCUGGGUAACCAGAUGUUCACCCACUAUGAUCGCGCUCACGUGGCCCAACUGUGUGAGAAAGCAGGCCUCCUGCAGAGGGCGCUGGAGCAUUACACUGACUUGUAUGAUAUUAAACGAGCAGUGGUGCAUACACACCUUCUCAACCCAGAGUGGUUGGUGAAUUUCUUUGGCUCCCUGUCUGUGGAGGAUUCCUUGGAGUGUCUGAGGGCCAUGUUAUCUGCCAACAUCCGGCAGAACCUGCAGAUCUGCGUGCAGGUCGCCUCCAAGUACCACGAGCAGCUCACUACUCAAUCCCUCACUGAACUGUUUGAGUCAUUCAAGAGCUUUGAGGGUUUGUUCUAUUUCUUGGGCUCAAUUGUGAACUUCAGCCAGGAUCCUGAAGUUCACUUCAAAUACAUUCAGGCUGCGUGCAAAACAGGCCAAAUCAAAGAGGUGGAGAGAAUCUGCAGAGAAAGCAAUUGCUACGACCCCGAACGUGUGAAGAACUUCCUCAAGGAAGCCAAGCUUACCGACCAGCUGCCAUUGAUCAUCGUGUGUGACCGCUUUGAUUUCGUCCACGAUCUGGUCCUGUACCUGUACCGCAACAGCCUACAGAAAUACAUUGAGAUCUAUGUACAGAAGGUGAACCCGAGCCGUCUGCCAGUAGUCAUUGGUGGAUUAUUGGAUGUGGACUGUGCCGAAGAUGUAAUUAAGAACCUGAUCAUGGUGGUGAGAGGACAGUUCUCCACAGAUGAACUGGUCGCUGAAGUGGAGAAAAGAAAUCGCUUGAAGUUGUUGCUGCCUUGGUUGGAGGCUCGUAUUCAUGAAGGCUGUGAGGAGCCUGCAACCCACAACGCCUUGGCCAAGAUCUACAUCGACAGCAACAACAACCCCGAGCGUUUCUUGAGGGAGAACCCCUACUAUGAUAGCCGCGUGGUGGGCAAGUACUGUGAAAAGAGAGACCCCCACCUGGCUUGCGUGGCUUAUGAAAGAGGACAGUGUGACCAGGAACUCAUUCACGUGUGCAAUGAGAACUCACUGUUCAAGAGUCUGUCCCGCUACCUUGUACGCCGCAAGAACCCAGAGCUGUGGGCAAGUGUGCUGUUGGAGACCAACCAUUACAGAAGACCACUCAUUGACCAGGUCGUCCAGACAGCCUUAUCAGAGACCCAGGAUCCAGAGGAGGUGUCUGUCACAGUCAAGGCCUUCAUGACCGCCGACCUUCCUAACGAGCUCAUUGAGCUUCUGGAAAAGAUUGUGCUGGAUAAUUCUGUCUUUAGUGAACACAGAAACCUUCAGAAUCUCCUCAUUCUGACUGCCAUUAAAGCUGAUCGGACACGCGUCAUGGAGUACAUUAACCGUCUGGACAACUACGACGCCCCAGACAUUGCAAACAUUGCCAUCAGCAAUGAGCUGUUUGAGGAGGCCUUUGCUAUAUUUAGAAAAUUUGAUGUCAACACUUCUGCUGUGCAGGUCCUGAUCGAACACAUCGGCAACCUGGACAGAGCUUAUGAAUUCGCUGAGCGCUGCAAUGAGCCCCCAGUUUGGAGUCAGCUGGCAAAGGCGCAGCUUCAGAAGGGCUUGGUGAAAGAAGCCAUCGACUCUUACAUUAAGGCUGAUGAUCCCUCGGCCUACAUGGAGGUGGGACAAGCUGCAGCCCAAAGCGGAAACUGGGAGGACCUGGUGAAGUUCCUGCAGAUGGCUCGAAAGAAAGCCCGCGAGUCAUAUGUUGAGACAGAGUUGAUCUUCGCCCUGGCCAAGACCAACCGCUUGGCCGAGCUGGAAGAGUUCAUCAACGGACCCAAUAAUGCUCACAUUCAGCAAGUGGGUGAUCGAUGCUAUGACGACAAGAUGUACGAGGCAGCCAAACUGCUUUACAAUAAUGUGUCAAACUUUGGCCGUCUGGCCUCAACUCUGGUUCACCUGGGAGAAUACCAGGCAGCUGUGGACGGUGCCCGCAAGGCUAACAGCACCCGUACCUGGAAGGAGGUGUGUUUUGCUUGUGUAGAUGGGAAGGAGUUCCGUCUUGCCCAGAUGUGUGGCCUGCAUAUUGUUGUCCACGCUGAUGAACUGGAGGAGCUCAUCAACUACUACCAGGACCGUGGUUACUUCGAGGAGCUGAUCACCAUGCUAGAGGCUGCCCUUGGGUUGGAGCGUGCUCACAUGGGCAUGUUCACUGAGCUGGCUAUCCUCUACUCCAAAUUCAAACCCCAGAAGAUGAGGGAACACCUGGAGCUCUUCUGGUCCCGUGUUAACAUUCCAAAGGUUCUCAGGGCAGCUGAGCAGGCCCACCUCUGGGGAGAACUUGUGUUCCUCUAUGACAAGUAUGAGGAAUAUGACAAUGCCAUCAUCACUAUGAUGAAUCACCCAGCUGAUGCCUGGAAGGAAAGCCAGUUCAAAGACAUUGUCACUAAGGUGGCUAACGUUGAGCUGUACUACAAGGCCGUCCAGUUUUAUCUCGAGUUUAAACCACUGCUGCUGAAUGACCUCCUUAUUGUCCUCUCUCCAAGACUGGAUCACACACGUGCUGUCAACUUCUUCAGCAAGGUGAAACAGCUGCCUCUGGUUAAGCCUUACCUAAGGUCUGUCCAGAAUCACAACAACAAGUCGGUGAAUGAAGCACUUAACAACCUCUUCAUCAAUGAAGAAGACUAUGCGGCGCUGCGCACUUCCAUCGACGCUUACGACAACUUCGACAACAUCUCGCUCGCCCAGAGCCUGGAGAAGCACGAGCUGAUUGAAUUCAGGAGGAUCGCAGCCUAUCUUUUUAAAGGCAACAACCGCUGGAAACAGAGUGUCGAGCUCUGCAAGAAGGACAAGCUCUACAAGGAUGCCAUGCAGUACGCAUCAGAGUCCAAAGACACUGAGCUGGCAGAAGAGCUCCUGGCUUGGUUCUUGAAGGAAGACAAGAAAGAGUGUUUUGCUGCCUGCCUAUUCACCUGCUACGACCUGCUGCGGCCCGACGUAGUACUGGAGACUGCCUGGCGACACAAUAUCAUGGACUUCUCCAUGCCGUACUUCAUCCAGGUCAUGAGGGAAUAUCUCACUAAGGUUGAUGCGAUAAAGGAAAAGACCACCUACCAACCCACGAGACUCCAGAGCGGGGCUCUUCACGCCCAUCAAGAGCCCUGAUCGGCUUGCUGGUGUGUCCGUGACGGCUUGAGUUUUGCCUCAGGCCAGGAAUCACAGAACUGAUUGGUGAAUUGGACACGUAGCUGACAGCUAAACUCAGAUUAAUUGCUGAUUCAGCUCCUGAGACUUUAUGACACUUCCACAGUCAUUUUUUUUGAAGAUCUGUUAUAGCAGUGCAACGGUAACGGCCACCUGCCACAGCUGAAAGCAGCUUCAGAGUCUCUCAGUUGGUCUUUGUAAGUCUGCCUCUUAGAGAAAGCCCUUUCACAUAUUUGUGUCAGACGUGCAACCGAGCCCUCGACUGAAGCCAGCAUGCUUAUCAGCUCUCCUCGGCCGUGGGUGAACAGUGCCACUCUGCUUAGCCUCCCCUCACCUGCUGUGGGUCAGGUCCUUUUUCUGAGAUUUGUAGAUUAAUUCAUGUUUUACUGUCUCGUACCUCUGCUCAGCUGCGCUCUACUGCUAACAAGUUUAUUUCAGGAAGCAGAUGUGUUCAUACUGUCGAUGUUCUAGGUUUGCCUUUUUUUGGUUUUAAUCAAAUAUUGGGAGGAUAUUGUUCUGUUUAAACAGUGGUGCAUUAGCAUAGACUGCAGCUGAGUGUAAUAUUAGCAUUAGAGGAGCCACAGAGGCUCCAUUUUAACAAAGUAUUUCUUUUCUGUUGCUUUCUGUCUGCCUGUACUUAUUUCAGUGCUAUAGUUACAAUACUGGCAUUAGAAACCAUAAAUGUUAGCCUGUUACAUGCAUUUUUAGAGGGUGUAUGUUUCUCUGUUUCUUUGAGUAUUCUUGCAAAGUGAGCUCUCUUCAAGCGACAAAUUGCUUUUGUGGGUCAGGGAAUAAAAUCUGUAGUCCGGGUGUAUCCACUGGGGAGAAAAAAAUCAGAACUUGUAGAAAACGACCAGCAUGCAUUUCCCUCCUCCUCCCUUGGUAGCAUCAGCUGCACUCAGGCCAGGCUAAGAGACAUGUUGUUGGCUGUGCCUGCUUCUUGGAAACGUUGAACUGGCUGUACAGUACCAUCCCCUCCACCCUGUCGUUCACACUCCCUCCACUUUGGCUCUCUGCUUCUCUGUCUUUCUCUCAUGCACUCCUCAAGAAAUAAAUGACUAAACUGCUGCUUCAGCAUGUCUCUAAUAAAUCGGCACACUUUUCUUAAAACGGCCUCUUAACUAGAUCGACUGAUGUUUUUCUUUUUCACUAGUAAACCAGACAGUAUGUAGAGAACUGAACCCAAAACCACCGUGAGAGAAUCCAACCCCCCUUUUUGUUUAAGUUAUCUUAUCUCAACUGCAAUGCACGCUGGCGUAGCCGAGAGCACUGAGGGUAAUAUCUGAAGCUUCCCGCUGGCUGCUUAAUUCUCUGAAUUGUUUCAACUGUAUCUUUUGUCCUUUCGACUGUCAUUGUCUGCUUCUGAGCUGAGGCUAAAACACCAAAGAAGAAAUAAUGGGAAGUUUGAGAAAGUUUAUCUCAAGGCUUUUACAUGUUUUACAGAGCUGUUUACACCCAUGCAGGGAGUUAGAGAUACGAUAUGUAGCAUGUUAGCUGCACAAUAAAUAAUAUUAAAGUGACAAAAGUGAACGUCUGAUUUUCAGGCUUUAGAAAAUGUAGUUUAAAGCCUGAAAAGUCUGGGGGGCUUCAUCCAAUCACACCUCUUUUCUGGUAAAGGUCAGGUGAGUAGUAAAAAAACAAAAAAGGAAUUAAAACACUUCAUUGCAUGAUUGGAAGGAGGAAGCAAGGGGUUAUCAAUCUAUAUAUAUUUACCUUUUCAUUUUAUUUGACCUUAUUUUACAUUCAUUUAAUUUUGCCUCUAUAUAAUGGCCACUUUCGCCUGUAAAAGUAUUAAAUCCUGGAAACACCAAGUUCUUACUGGUGUGGAUUGGCAUUUGUGUUUUCAGAACACACUGGAUGCUAAGCUAGGAAACAAAGAUGACGACAGAUCCAAGCAGGUUGGUUAGUAUACGACAGUGAUUUUUAAAAAAAGAAUGAGGUUAAGUUAAAGGUAAAAUGUGACAGUAAGAUGGUUGAAAUUGCGUAGUUGUAGUGUUCUGGAAGAAAAGCCUGAUGUCAGGGUGUUUGCACUGGUGCAGGGUGGGUUCUCUACAUACUCACACUUGUUCAACAUGUUAGAGUAGAUGUUUUUGGGUGGCUGGAUGGUGGGACCAUUAUUACCCAGUAGCUGUUUGUCUUUGUCUCCCCUCCUUACUCCCUAAUUCGUUUCACAGUAAGUGGAUGUCCAUAAGGUAGAGUAGCCAGUAGCUCUGUAGUUGUAGUUAUUCCUCUUAGGCUCCUUAGCGAGGCCUGCUUCCCGCAGUCUGUUUUUAUUUAAAUCUGGACUGUAAUCGUCUUCGCCUGUCAGGAAUGGUCCCAUCCGUCAGCCAGUGAAAUAACCCAGAGGUGGACAAACUCGAAGCCUCCGAGUCUCUGAGGAAACAGGAAGAGCAGGCUACAGAGUCUCAACCCAUUGUUUACGGCACACCCCAGCUUAUGCUCACAGCAGGGCCCAACGUGCCCGUGCCUCCUCAGCAGCCCUACGGCUACGGCUACACAGCAGCACCCAACUACGGCC